rnacentral:rRNA from 1 species
CCUACGGGGGGCAGCAGUGAGGAAUAUUGGUCAAUGGACGAGAGUCUGAACCAGCCAAGUAGCGUGAAGGAUGACUGCCCUCUGGGUUGUAAACUUCUUUUAUAUGGGAAUAAAAUGUUCCACGUGUGGGAUUUUGUAUGUACCAUAUGAAUAAGGAUCGGCUAACUCCGUGCCAGCAGCCGCGGUAAUACGGAGGAUCCGAGCGUUAUCCGGAUUUAUUGGGUUUAAAGGGAGCGUAGGUGGAUUGUUAAGUCAGUUGUGAAAGUUUGCGGCUCAACCGUAAAAGUGCAGUUGAAACUGGCAGUCUUGAGUGCAGUAGAGGUGAGCGGAAUUCGUGGUGUAGCGGUGAAAUGCGUAGAUAUCACGAAGAACUCCGAUUGCGAAGGCAGCUCACUGGACUGCAACUGACGCUGAGGCUCGAAAGUGUGGGUAGCAAACAGGAUUAGAUACCCGGGUAGUC